AAACCAACAGGGAUUGCCCUAGUAACGGCGAGUGAAGCGGCAACAGCUCAAAUUUGAAAUCUGGCGCAAGCCCGAAUUGUAAUUUGUAGAGGAUGCUUCUAGCUAGCGACCGGUCUAAGUUCCUUGGAACAGGACGUCAUAGAGGGUGAGAAUCCCGUAUGUGACUGGUUUGCAGCUUCUACGUAGCUCCUUCGACGAGUCGAGUUGUUUGGGAAUGCAGCUCUAAAUGGGAGGUAAAUUUCUUCUAAAGCUAAAUACCGGCCAGAGACCGAUAGCGCACAAGUAGAGUGAUCGAAAGAUGAAAAGCACUUUGGAAAGAGAGUUAAAAAGCACGUGAAAUUGUUGAAAGGGAAGCGCCUACAACCAGACUUCGCGGCAGUGUUCCGCCGGUCUUCUGACCGGUCUACUCGCUGCCGUGAGGCCAUCAUCGUCUGGGACCGCUGGAUAAGACGGCAGGAAUGUGGCAUCCUUCGGGGUGUGUUAUAGCCUGCCGUGAUGCAGCGCGUCUCGGGCGAGGUCCGCGCUUCGGCAAGGAUGAUGGCGUAAUGGUUGUCGGCGGCCCGU
rnacentral:rRNA from 1 species